GAUAGCUGCUCAUCGCAAAACACCAGUUCAGUCCUCAAAACCGAUCCUCGUUACACGCCCGAGUGUUGCUGCUGUUGCCUUCUUAAACCAGUGAUCUGUAGUGAUUCUCUCCUACCCUUUCCCUCCCCACCUCCGCUGUAGACUGCGAACCGAGCAACGAUUUUUAAAGCAAAUAUUUAUUCGCUUUUCUUUUAGGCAGAGCUGGUGCACGUUCGGGGCUCUGCAUUUUGCGGAAUCACGCUGAGACUUGCUGCUUCGAUGAUUGCUAAAAUGUAGCGUCACCUACCUGGGUAAGUGGGAAAUAAACUUUAAUGUUAAA